ACUGAAUAGAUACCCUGGUAGUCCUAGCCGUAAACGAUGCACAUUAGGCGUGAGGGGUAUCGACCCCCUUCGUGCCGAAAGCAAAAACGCAUUAAAUGUGCCGCCUGGGGAGUACGGCCGCAAGGUUGAAACUCAAAGGAAUUGACGGGGGCCCGCACAAGCGGUGGAGCAUGUGGUUUAAUUCGACGCAACGCGAACAACCUUACCUGGGCUUGAACUACUAGUAGUAGUACUCUGGAAACAGAGGACGAACCGUAAAGUCGGUUGCUAGCAGAGGUGCUGCAUGGUUGUCGUCAGCUCGUGUCGUGAGAUGUUGGGUUAAGUCCCGCAACGAGCGCAACCCUUACCCUAUGUUGCCCCGUCCGUAAAGGACAGCACUCUUAGGGAACCGCCUCGGACAACGGGGAGGAAGGUGGGGAUGACGUCAAGUCACCAUGGCCUUUAUGUCCAGGGCUACACACGUGCUACAAUGGCCGGUACACGAGCAGCAAUCCGCAAGGAGGAGCAAAUCUCUUAAAGCCGGCCCCGCGUUCAGAUUGUGGGCUGCAAUUCGCCC
rnacentral:rRNA from 1 species